AAGAAAAAAGUCAUAUUUGAAUGGCGUGACAGACACGGGGCCCCGAAGUACACACGCUGGACUUUGGGUCAGCCAGACAACCAGGGUGGAAAGGAGAACUGUGUGGAGAUAAACUAUAAUUUUUGGGGAAGAUGGAAUGAUGAUGGAUGCUGGAAGAAGAAACCCUACAUCUGCCAAAUGACGAUCCACUGAUGUUUUUACAUCAAGUCCACAUGGC